rnacentral:lncRNA from 1 species
AUGGGAGAGACAGGCAAGCUGCAAAGGGAAGUCGACGAAAUAAAAUUAAAGCCCUACAAUCGUGUUCGUGUCAAUGUAGAUGGGGUGCCCCCCUCGGUUUGCUCACAGAGGUGGGUGUGAGAUCCUACAGGACGGUCUGGAAGACAUCCCAUGGAAGGCACUUUAUUUUGCCCAGAAGCUGGAGGAAAAGCAGAAGAUACAUUAGUUUGCCAAGUAUGCUGCUGGAUGUUCAUUCAGCACUAGUGUUUAACAAAAGCCCGGUUUUAAAAUCAGAGGAUAUGAGUUGGGGGGGCCUUGAGGGCGCUGAACACUGACUAAGAGGAGAGAGCGCACAUUACAUGGAGACCAUGGUCCCCAUACCAGAAACAUGAGAGUAGAGAGAAGCAAAGCCAGCAUCGUGGAGCCAGUCCCUUUAUCCAGGAUCUUGGAGGGAUACAGUCUUCUGUAGAAAUUAAAUAAAGACUGAAUUCUUCAAUGGGUAUUUUGAGAAGAGAGCCACUGUAAGCUUAUACACUGUGAAUUGCAAAAUGUUACUGCCUCUGGGUGGACAGGUUUUAAAAAGACUUUUUUUUUUCCUCCUGGCAUGGCUGACAGAGGGAAGGCUGGGUUUCAAUCCCAUCUUUCCCUUCCCUUGCCCAGUGCUUCUUUAUGUGCACAACCUGCACAACUAUAUGUGGUUUGCAAACACGCAUAAGCAAAGACUAACAGCUUCUGAAACAAACUCUGAAUAAAAGAGGGAGCAUAUUAAGGCAGAUGGCAGAGGAGGUGAGCAGCAUGGGCAGAUAGAAGCAUCACAGAGACUACAAGAAGAAUGUGCCAGACCGGCUCAUAGUGGCCACACUGAUUAAGAAUUACCAUCAGCUCUUUAGGAUUUGGAAACUUGGAAACACAUUGUGUGUUCUUCCUGGUUUGUUAUAGAGUAUGUGUAUGUACUUCUUUCUCUUAAAAAUAUUUAUUUUUAAAGAAUUGACUUAUAAAAUUAUAUGUAUUUGUCAUGUAUAACACAAUAUUUUGAAGUACAGUCCUGUGUCAUAAGGAUAUGUUCUGAGAAAUCCAUCAAUUUUGUCAUUGUAUAAACAUGAUAGAGUGUAUUUACACAAACCUAGGUGGUAUAAACUACUACACACCUAGGCUACAUAAUGUAGCCUAUUGCUCCUAGGCUAUAAACCUGUAUAACAUGCUACUGUACUAAAUACUAUAGACAAUAGUCACAUACUGGUGAGUAUUUGCGUAUCAAAACAUAUCUAAAUAUAGAAAAGAUGCAGUAAAAAUAUGGUAUUACAAUCUUAUGAGACCACUAUAGUAUAUGAGGUCCAUCAUUGAUUAAAACAUAGUUAUAUGGUGCAUGACUGUAUAUAUGCAUUGUGGAAUGGUUAAAUCUAGCUAACUAACAAAUGUGUUAUAUCACAUAGUUAUUAUUUUUGAGGUGAGAAUACAAUAUUCACUCUCUUAGCAUUUUUUAAGAAUACAGUAUAUUAACUAUAGUCACCAUGCUGAAUGGUAGAUCUCUGGAACUAAUUUCUCCUAUCUAAGUGUGAUUAUGUACCCUUUGACCAACAUCUUUCUAACCCCACCCCACAAACACCCCAUAAUAAAGCCUCUUGUAACCACCA